GAUUGGGAAUCACUCGCCCCUUUCCGCUUCGGACACCCGUUGCAGAGAGCGUCUCCCAACGCGAGGCUUGAGCCCAGCCGCACUACUGUGACAGGAAUAAGAGAAAGAAACUUCCUUCAGAGUUGACAGGAAUGGGCUCUAAACACAAGAUGUCUGCCAAAAGAAAAAAAAAAGCCUGUUUCCUCAGCAACAAAGUUAACCUCUGCCCUGUAAAGUUGACCUGCAAGGCAACUUGCCUCCUGACUAGCACUGUGAAUAACAUGUAUAGCUGUUGUUUUAUUAACCUGUAAUCUGUGAUAGUUUAUUGUAUCAAAAUUUAAUGAGAACUAGUAUUUUACUUAGUGAGAAAGGAGCCUUAUCUGACCAAAAGAUAACUAGACCUUGAAAAUGUUUGGCUUCUCAUCCGAGAAGCUUCUUCAGUUCUGAUUGGUCUGAUUUGUCACUAAACCAAUCCCUAUACACAAUAUAACAGUUUGUAACCUCGCUCUUUUCAUAGUCUCCAAGGCUGCUGGAAAAAACCAUGUUUUAAGAGAUUCAUAGGUCAGUAAGGUGGGGACAAAUCUUACCUCAAAAACGUUCCAGAGGAUAGAUGCUGUGGCAGGAAAGAUCAUAUUCUGGUCCUGUCAGAUGGAACCCAUAACAUGUUUCUCCUGCUAGACCUCAUAGGAUGGGUAGAUAUAACCAGGAAAAGGUAGUCACUGAUCCCAUACUAUCUAGGGGUUUAAAGAUGGGAAUCCUGCAUCUUGAAUUGAAUAUGGAAGCAAACUGGUAACCAAUGCAAUUCAUGUUGCAGAGGUAUAAUUGAGCAAUCCUAGGGGCAUGCAUAAUUGCCACCACAUUUUGCACCAGUUAACCUUCUAGAUACUCAAAUACCUGGAAGCUUAACUGGCAAGUUCCAUGUAGAUCACAUUACAGUAGUCCAUUCAGGAGGUGACCAAGGCAUAAAUAAAUAUGAGUAGAGCAUCAUGAUCCAAGAAUGGAUGCAGUUGGAGCACAACACGGAUCUGGACAAAGGUCUUCUAGCCACAACUGCCACAUGUUCACCCAACAGCUUUAUAUAGAUGUUAAACAGGAGUGGAAACAGUACCAACCCCUACAGGACUCCACAUAAUAGGGGUCAAGAGUGAGAACUCUCACACUCAAUGAACACUGACUGGUAUUGGUCCCAUAGAAAGGAAGCGAACAAGAACAUUAAUACUGCCCACUCCUCCCCAUACAGCUAAUCUCGAAAGAUACUGUGUUUGAUGGUAUUGAAUGCCAGUGAGAUAUCAAGAAGAACCAGGAUGACUGGACUAUUCCUAUCCCGCUCAUGCCAGAAAUCAUCCAAAUGUCCAACCAAUGUCAUUUUCCUUCUAAUGCCCAGGCUUGAAUCCUGACCUAAGAGUCCAGAUAAUCCCAAUUUACCAACUGAAGACUUUGUGUGACCCACCCUAUUCACAACUACCAAAAGAGAGAUUGGUUAUUGGAUGAAAAUUAUCCAAUAUGUUAGGGGUAGCAAUGACUUCUUGAGGAGGGGGCAAACUAAUGCCUCCUUAAGGGGCAGAAUAUUUUUCCUCUCUCAAGGAAGAGUUCACCAGUGCUAAAUCUAACUAUGGUACAUGUCAUCCCCAGGCAGCCUAGCUAGCAAGGAAGAACAUGGAUUUAAUUAGCAGAUGGUUUGAAUCACAUUCAGGCCGACUCUAUUCAAACUAUUCCCAGAUAAUAGGAAAGACUGGUCCCUGGGCAUCUCAACUGGUGUCAAGACUGGUGAAUACAUUUAAGCAAUUUUAUCCAAUAGAUGCUCUGUAAAUUCAAGCUGCAUGACCUUGUAUGUGAACUUCCAAAUCUUUUAUCUAAAAGAGUUCGGGUCACACUAAAUGGGGCUGCCAGGUGGUUAUCUACAGACAUAAUAAAAGAGUGGAAAAGUAUUGCCAUACAUGUAUGGUUUUUUUUAAGUAUAUGGUGGGCAUGCUGUGAAACAGUUGCAUGAACACUUGUUGGGAUCUAAUUUUUAAAAAUUGUAACAUACAUUAUGUCAGCUGAGCUGAGUUCAAGAAUCAAGGUCUAGGGUUAGGGUUAGUAUUGGAAUUUCAAUUCCAAACAUGAAACAUACUGGCUUCAAACAUGUUUCACAUGAUAUGACAAAUUGUUGAAUUGGCAUAUAAUUUUAAUUGCCUGCACACCUCUAUUUAUUUGAAAAUAAAUGUGGGUGAACUACAAAACAGUUUUGAGUAAUUGCUUUUGUAGUAAAACUAGAAUCACAUUAGAAUUCUACAGAGUUUAUGCUGUUGCCAUGUGCACAAUGCUAACUACCCCAUGUACAAACACUAUGCUCAAUCGAGGAGUAUGUUUAAUGGGAGAAGAUGGAAAAGAAUCUCUGAAAUUUACAUAUAAAUCCAGUGUUGUAUUUAAUUAUGUUUUUUUUUUCAAAAUACAUCUCUACUUUCUCUUUUUUAUUCUGUAUAAGAAAAUAUAUCCAAACAGUUCUAUCACAGAGGAAUUUCCAUAGUAUAACAGUUUGUUUCCCAUUAGGGCCUAAAUUGUACUAGACCAGGCGAACUGGUGGCCCGCAGGCCAGAUACAUCAUGUCAGGCUACGCCCACCCCAGCUCCGCAAAGGCAAAAACAUGAUACGUCAUGAUCUGGCCGUGACACAAUCGAGUUUGACACCCAUGUACUAAACUAUUACAAAAUAUCAGCAGUGAAUCACUGUUAAGGGUCCUGAACUAACCAUGCUGCAUUUAUUAUUUUUAAAUAACCUCUGUCUCGAAAGAGGCCUUCAAGAUUAGUACUUACACCUGUUCAUGGCAGGAAUCCUCAUACCAUCCCAUAUAAAUGGUUGUCACGCAUUCCAAAAAUCUAAUUUAUGGAGCACCUAGAACUCAGGAGGCAGACUAUUCUGCUCUUGAAUAGCUCUCUCAGAUGGAAAAUUUUCAAGUUUGGGUCUCCUCUAAAGAUUUCCAUUCAACAGCUCCUGUCCAUCCAGGGACACUAGAGGAUAAAGACACAAACCAGUGUACAACUGUUACUGUGUCUCCACUUAGCUUUUUAUCUUUAGCAUAAAUGUACCCAGGUUCUUAAACCAUCAGAAUUUAGCAAAUGUACCCAGUUCUUAAAACCAUCAGAAUUAGCUUCUAAGUUCCUCACCAUCUUUAUUGUGCUUCCAUGGACCACAUUUUCUUUUCUAUCAAAAAAA